ACGAACGCUGGCGGCAUGCCUAACACAUGCAAGUCGAACGAGACCUUCGGGUCUAGUGGCGCACGGGUGCGUAACGCGUGGGAAUCUGCCCUUCGGUUCGGAAUAACACAGAGAAAUUUGUGCUAAUACCGGAUGAUGACUUCGGUCCAAAGAUUUAUCGCCGAGGGAUGAGCCCGCGUAGGAUUAGCUUGUUGGUGGGGUAAUGGCCUACCAAGGCGACGAUCCUUAGCUGGUCUGAGAGGAUGAUCAGCCACACUGGGACUGAGACACGGCCCAGACUCCUACGGGAGGCAGCAGUGGGGAAUAUUGGACAAUGGGCGCAAGCCUGAUCCAGCAAUGCCGCGUGAGUGAUGAAGGCCUUAGGGUUGUAAAGUUCUUUCGCUCGUGACGAUGAUGACGGUAACGAGAGAAGAAGCCCCGGCUAACUUCGU
rnacentral:rRNA from 1 species